CUUUCCUUCACACUGUGAAAACGAGUGGCAACAAAUCCUGUUGUGUGGAACUAUAACGCUCUGACAGUGAAUGGGGACGUUUGCGUGUUGCGGUGGAAAAUGACCUCGGGGGUGAAGCACUUCAAAAUGCAUCAACACAAUGAAUCUAAUAUGGCAUUUAAAAAACAAGCACUUGACGAAGUUUGGCUACAUCGAGGCUCAACGCAAGAAAAAAAUGACAUCCGGAGCGGUCAGACAGCAGGUAAAGCAGCACACAACUACCAACACUCCCCCAGAUUAGCAUCACGGUCAGAAAGCUAAACAAAUAACCAGAAAAAUUAUUUAAAUCACCGCA